ensembl:lncRNA
GCUUGAGCCACGCUAAGAAUUCAAAGUAUGAAAGUCAAUGGUCCGACAUUCUAGAACACUGCUGUGUUUACACAUACACGUUUUGGACUCUGAUAGCCGCUUUAGACUCAGGCAUCGGUGAGCAGACAGGGAAAGAGAGCGAGAGAGAAAGAUAGAGAUGGAUAGAGUAAGAGGGAGAGGAGAGAGAGAGAGGGAAAGAUGGAGAGAGAGAGAGGCAGAGAGGGAGACAGAGAGAGAGAGAGGGAGCUGCAGAGAGAGAGAGAGAGAGAGAGCAGCAGAGAGAGAGAGAAUAAGAGAGAGAGAGAGAGCUGCAGAGAGAGAGAGAGAGAGAGAGAGAGAGAGCUGCAGAGAGAGAGAGAGAGAGAGAGAGAGAGAGAGAGAGAGAGAGAGAGAGCUGCAGAGAGAGAGAGAGAGAGAGAGCUGCAGAGAGAGAGAAUGAGAGAGAGAGAGAGAGAGAGAGAGGGGGAG